GACGAACGCUGGCGGCGUGCCUAAUACAUGCAAGUCGAGCGGACGAAUCGAAAGCUUGCUUUUGAUUCGUUAGCGGCGGACGGGUGAGUAACACGUGGGCAACCUGCCCUGUAGACGGGGAUAACACCGAGAAAUCGGUGCUAAUACCGGAUAACACGAAAUGUCGCAUGACGUUUCGUUGAAAGACGGCGCAAGCUGUCGCUACAGGAUGGGCCCGCGGCGCAUUAGCUAGUUGGUGAGGUAACGGCUCACCAAGGCGACGAUGCGUAGCCGACCUGAGAGGGUGAUCGGCCACACUGGGACUGAGACACGGCCCAGACUCCUACGGGAGGCAGCAGUAAGGAAUCUUCCGCAAUGGACGAAAGUCCGACGGAGCAACGCCGCGUGAGCGAAGAAGGCCUUCGGGUCGUAAAGCUCUGUUGUUAGGGAAGAACAAGUAACGCAGUAACUGGCGUUACCGUGACGGUACCUAACGAGAAAGCCACGGCUAACUACGUG
rnacentral:rRNA from 1 species